UGGGGAAUAUUGGACAAUGGGGGCAACCCUGAUCCAGCAAUGCCGCGUGUGUGAAGAAGGUUUUCGGAUUGUAAAGCACUUUCGGCGGGGACGAUGAUGACGGUACCCGCAGAAGAAGCCCCGGCUAACUUCGUGCCAGCAGCCGCGGUAAUACGAAGGGGGCUAGCGUUGCUCGGAAUGACUGGGCGUAAAGGGCGUGUAGGCGGUUUGUACAGUCAGAUGUGAAAUCCCCGGGCUUAACCUGGGAGCUGCAUUUGAUACGUGCAGACUAGAGUGUGAGAGAGGGUUGUGGAAUUCCCAGUGUAGAGGUGAAAUUCGUAGAUAUUGGGAAGAACACCGGUGGCGAAGGCGGCAACCUGGCUCAUAACUGACGCUGAGGCGCGAAAGCGUGGGGAGCAAACAGGAUUAGAUACCCUGGUAGUCCACGCUGUAAACGAUGUGUGCUAGAUGUUGGGUAACUUAGUUAUUCAGUGUCGCAGUUAACGCGUUAAGCACACCGCCUGGGGAGUACGGCCGCAAGGUUGAAACUCUAAAGU
rnacentral:rRNA from 1 species